GAUGAACGCUGGCGGCGUGCCUAAUACAUGCAAGUCGAGCGAACAGACGAGGAGCUUGCUCCUCUGACGUUAGCGGCGGACGGGUGAGUAACACGUGGAUAACCUACCUAUAAGACUGGGAUAACUUCGGGAAACCGGAGCUAAUACCGGAUAAUAUAUUGAACCGCAUGGUUCAAUAGUGAAAGACGGUUUUGCUGUCACUUAUAGAUGGAUCCGCGCCGCAUUAGCUAGUUGGUAAGGUAACGGCUUACCAAGGCAACGAUGCGUAGCCGACCUGAGAGGAUGAUAGGCCACACUGGAAAUGAGACACGGUCCAGACUCCUACGGGAGGCAGCAGUAGGGAAUCUUCCGCAAUGGGCGAAAGCCUGACGGAGCAACGCCGCGUGAGUGAUGAAGGUCUUCGGAUCGUAAAACUCUGUUAUUAGGGAAGAACAAAUGUGUAAGUAACUAUGCACGUCUUGACGGUACCUAAUCAGAAAGCCACGGCUAACUACGUG
rnacentral:rRNA from 1 species